rnacentral:rRNA from 1 species
AUGAACGCUGGCGGCGUGCCUAAUACAUGCAAGUCGAGCGAACAGAUGAGGAGCUUGCUCCUCUGACGUUAGCGGCGGGCGGGUGAGUAACACGUGGAUAACCUACCUAUAAGACUGGGAUAACUUCGGGAAACCGGAGCUAAUACCGGAUAAUAUAUUGAACCGCAUGGUUCAAUAGUGAAAGACGGUUUUGCUGUCACUUAUAGAUGGAUCCGCGCCGCAUUAGCUAGUUGGUAAGGUAACGGCUUACCAAGGCAACGAUGCGUAGCCGACCUGAGAGGGUGAUCGGCCACACUGGAACUGAGACACGGUCCAGACUCCUACGGGAGGCAGCAGUAGGGAAUCUUCCGCAAUGGGCGAAAGCCUGACGGAGCAACGCCGCGUGAGUGAUGAAGGUCUUCGGAUCGUAAAACACUGUUAUUAGGGAAGAACAAAUGUGUAAGUAACUAUGCACGUCUUGACGGUACCUAAUCAGAAAGCCACGGCUAACUACGUG